AUGUUGAUCUAUAUUAUUAUACUGCUGUUAUCAACUGAAGGUUCCAGAACCUCAGAAGUCAUCACUCCAAAAAGAGACAGAGAAUUUGCUCUUGAGAGUGACAAUGUGACACUCUCCUGUAACUACAGCGGUUCUGCUCGUGGUGUUCACUGGUAUUGUCAAUAUGCAGGUUCACCACCACAGUUCCUCAUACUGGAAUAUUCAGGGGUAACAACUCCAGCUAAUCCACCCGUUCCAGGAAUAACCAUCAAUCACAGAAAAACAGAAAGCCAUGUGGAUCUGAUCAUCUCCUCUGCUGCAGUAUCAGACUCUGCUGUGUACUACUGUGCUCUGCAGCCCACACUGACAGGAAACCCUACGGCAUUGUACAAAAACAUUGUACAAAAACAGUUUUCAUAUGCUUAUCAAGCCCUGAUAGAAAUGUGCAAACCACAGCUUGACUAA